rnacentral:rRNA from 1 species
UACGUAGGGGGCAAGCGUUGUCCGGAUUUAUUGGGCGUAAAGAGCGUGUAGGCGGCUAUACAGGUCCGCUGUGAAAACUCGAGGCUCAACCUCGAGACGUCGGUGGAAACCGUAUGGCUAGAGUCCGGAAGAGGAGAGUGGAAUUCCUGGUGUAGCGGUGAAAUGCGCAGAUAUCAGGAGGAACACCAAUGGCGAAGGCAGCUCGCUGGGACGUUACUGACGCUGAGACGCGAAAGCGUGGGGAGCAAACAGG